rnacentral:lncRNA from 10 species
GUUUCACCAUGUUAGCCAGGAUGAUCAGGAGAUCUCGUGAUCCACCCACCUUGACCUCCCAAAGUGCUGGGAUUAUAGGCGUGAGCCACCACGCCUGGCCAGAUAUCUUAAAAUGAGUAUAUAAUCAUCUAUAGACUCACUCCACAGCUUGUAUCUAUUAGGGAAGCAAUGUGGAAUGUUAGAAGGGUAUGCAACCUUGAUCAAGAUGCUCCCUUCUCUGAAUCACAGAUCUGUAUAAAGGGAAUAAUAAUGGCUACUUCUUAGGUCCGUAAAGAUAUUUUCUUAAUGUAGGUAAAGUACCUCAAUAAAUGGUAGUAAAUUGUGGUACUAGCAAGAAUAUCUCUCUAAAUGUUCUCUCAAGAUUGAAUUCAAUCCUUUCAGUGCCUAUAUAUGAGGACAAAUUAUUUUACAACUAGUGAGAGUAGAUCUUCAAGACAGAUGAUCUUGAAAGACAAAAGCUACAAGAAUUGGAAAGAAUAUAAAAUUCAAUGUCUAUUCUCAGUUUGGAUUAUACUUAUGAGCACUUCGGUAUUCAUCUGUAGAAAGAAAUGAUUAAAAUCUAGAUGACUUUUAAAGUGCCUUCUAAUUUUAAUACUCUAUAACGCUAUUACUUCUACAUAGCUGAAUCAUUGGUAAGUUAUCAUAGCUCAAUGAAAUAAGGCAAUUUGUAGUGUAGGCUGCACUAAGGCUAUGCUCUCCGUGGCCAAAGUUAUUUCUUAGAAUACUGAGCUAAAAAUGUAACUGCAUUCUGCAACCUAUGCAAACAUGUUCUAACUGAUGGGAGGGGAAAAAAAUUCAAUUCAGAGUGCCAACAAUUCCUCUGUGAGUUAGCGUGGCAGGGAUAGCGUAGGGUCAGUGAAGCAUCAAGUUACAGACCAAAUUAAAGGUCUGGAGAAGAGUGGCAGAGUCUAAUCAUCCAUCGUCUGAGGUUGCCAAAACUGGAUCUACCACCCUUACUCACUCACAAAGGACCGUUCUAUGGAGGCUAAGCAUACAGACUUUGGGCUUCAAACAUCUUUUUUUAAAAAAAGGUCUUCUCGUUCCAAAUAGAUCUUUAUGAAAUUAUUUCCUUGAAGCUCUCAGUUCUGUCAUUUUAAAAUUUCCAUCAAAAAGUAAUCAAAACCUAAUGCUUACAGUGUUCUGCCACAAAUAAAAAAUUAUUGUGGGUUUUUGUUCCUAUUAAAAACAUAUGCAACAUAUACAUAUUUAUAGAAGUCCCAGAACCAGUGUACACACGUCCACAAAAACCUUAGGAAAAUAAUGUUAAUAGUUUUGCCUAAACCAAUAAAUUUUAUAUUGUGCUCUGUCCAUGACUACCCUUACUAAGCUAACACUUUGCAAAGGUCAGCAAGCAAUGAAUAUUUCUGCAUAUUUUGUGGCAUAGGUUGCAAACAUUAGAUCUAUAGGGAUGAAUUAAGGUCACUUUUAAAAUUCAGACAGUAUUUUCUGGACUUGGUUGACCGAAUCAUGCGCAUCUGCACUAUUUUUCCUGGGGGAAAGUUAAUUUUAGAAAGGAGAAAAAGUUUGCCAGGAAAACAAUCACAUUGGCUCAAUCUCUAGACAGUGAUUCUUUUCUUAAAAGUUCAAAAUGCUUUACAGACAGCCUCCUGCUUGUCCUUAAUAUCCUUGAAAGCGGGUAUGGAAUAUCAUCCCUAUUUCAUAACAGGCAUCUGGUUUCAUAAAAAGAAAUGUAAGCUUUAAUGUUAUAACUACUUAAGGGUACUUUAAAAAAUUGGUCCUUCACCUCAAUUUUUCAAAAGACAGAAAAUAAAAAUCUUUAUUUUCCCUGGUAGUUACCUUCUGAUAGUUGGAUAAGUACUUAUAAUGGUUCAGGUACAUAUAUGAAUAUAUGAAAAGUAGCAGACAUGCAUCGAUGACAAAGUUCAAGAUGGAGAAACAUUUAGUAUUUCUGUAAAUAUGAUAUAAUUUACAGACUCUCUUAAUCAAUUCAGGAUAGAAGAACUUGGUUCAAAUAAUUAGGAGUGAAAACAGGAUCUAAAUUAAUUAAUAUGAUCACUGUUCCUUCUAGUUCCUAGAGAUAAUAGUCCAUUUGAGUCUUUAGCCUUAAAGUAAGAAAAAUGUAAAAAUGUCAAUGGGCUGCAUUCCAUCAUCGACAAAAAGUCAAGGGAGCAGUGAAGGAAGAUUUUCUGAUUCUCUGGAGAAUGGGCCUCAGCCCCUUCUAAUUGUCAGGGUACUUGUGAAGGAAUUCUUAUAUUUUAAAAAUUGAUAUUUAAAAGCUGUUUAACCAGGUCUCCUAGAAGUAUGCAUUUCCCCCAAUGUUAUAUCAGAGUUUCAAAUGAAUGUUAACUCUCCCUUUCCAAAAUUGCUGUCUCGGACAAGGCGCUAUGGCUCACUCCUGUAAUCCCAGAACUUUGGGAGGCCGAAGCGGGUGGAUCACUUGAGGUCAGGGGUUCGAGACCAGCCUGGCCAACAUGGUGAAACCCUGUCUCUACUGAAAAUACAAAAAUUAGCCAGGCAUGGUGGCGUAUACCUGUAAUCCCAGCUACUCGGGAGGCUGAGGCAGGAGAAUCACUUGAACCCUGGAGGCGGAGGUCGCAGUGAGCCGAGAUCGGGCCACAGCACUCCAGCCUGAGCGACAGAGCGAAACUCCGUCUCAAAAAAUAAAAACGAAAUUUAAAAAAAUUACCUUCUCAGAUCCAAUGAUACCGCACCAAUCACAUUAAUCAACUUGAGGGGAACUGGCUUUCAUCCCUUUCACUGUUUUUAUUUUCAAUUCACACUAAUAGUUUCAACUGAUGCUUAGCCACAGUGGGUGGCCCCUCUCUCUUCUUUGCGGACCUUACAGAUACUUGGGGGUAUGUUGCGGGGGCGGGCAUCACAAUCACCUGAGGUGCUUUUUAAAUCUACUCAAGCCUGAACACACACACGCAUGCAGGCACGCACACGCACACACACCAGAUUUCUGAAUCGAGAUUUCAGAGUGGGGUCCAGCUUUUUUCCCCAGCGCCUAAGAGCUUUUGCUUUAAGUUGUUAUAAAGUUGUAGCACCGCAGUCACCCUGAAAACCUUGUACACUUAUCAUAAUAGUUAAGGGGGGAAAAAACCACCUCAGCCUGUGCCGAUACCAAAGGUAAGACAGUGCAUUUACUUUGAUCAAGAAUCAAUAUUCCUCCCAAAGUUAGGAUAGUAAAGGAAGUGGGGGCGGGGGGAAGGUAUGUUAUGGAAGGAGAAGGAGUUAUCACCUUUCAGCCUGGAAAUUGUUACAGACCCUAGGGGAGAUCUUUGCGUCCGUGUUUGCGCCACACACCUGGAAAGGGUGGAUUACUCCUGCCAGCCCUGACCUCAGAGCCGGGGGUGCGGGUUUCCAGAGCUUCCCGGGGGCGGGGAAGAAAAGUCGGGAGUGGAGCUUGGAGAAGAGGUGGGGGUCCGGCGGACGGCGGAGGGGAAACGCGGAUGCCCGAGGGUCUGAUCCCCCGUGGGCCGCCCGCCGCGGCUUCAGCUCUGCGCGGAGGGGACCUGGGGACGGAGAAAGGGAAGGAGCAGAAGGGGAGGCGGUGACAGCCUCGGGGAGGCCGAACUGGCCCCUCGCAGAGGCUCCAGGCAGCUCGAGGGCGAACGCUGCACCCCGUGCCCCUCCUUACCUUGCGCCCGAGGUCCAAGUAAGGAGCAGGGAGACCCCGGGAGGCGCAGGGCUCCCGCCAAGGCGCGCGCGCGCUCGGGGUCCGCUAUCAGCUUCUUCAGGCUGCGGGUUCAGGUAUGGAAGACAUUCAGGUCGCCUAGCUACCAGCCCCUUGGCGCGUCUCGGACCCCUCCUCGGCCCUCGCCCCGGCGGCCCUCUGCCCCGCUCCCCUCCGCCCCGCGGGCGCCCUCAGAGCCUCUCUGGCUGCUGAUUCCGAAGAGUUUUGGCCCCUCUCCGCGGCCGGCCCUCCCUCCGCGCGCGCGCACUCACCUUCCCCACAAACGCACCCUCUUUAGGAAGGAGGCAGCGAAUGCGGUCCUUGAAAUUCUAGGCGCUGGGCAACUUCAGAAAACCUUUUAAAAAUCUUUGAUCUGCCCAAUGAGGUUCAAAGUAGGGCACCAUUUAUAUUCAUACCCUGGCUCCGUCCUCUUUUUUGUCUUAACCACAGCAUUAUUUAACACUUGAUAUUCGUGUAUAGGUUGAACUCUUGAGAAUCUCCUGCCAGGCAUUUUAAUUUGUCCAAAAUAACUCCUUACGUUUUAUUGUUUUGAAAAUGCAGACAUCCCCACUUUAUAAACUUGGGUUGCCAGGAGGUUAGAUUGGCCUCAGAAAGCAGUUGUGUGUUCAACUGCACAAGACAGAGCAAGUCUCUUCCCAGCAGCGCUGGUACUUGCCACCUGUAAGGGCCCUGCCUCAGGGCAAGAGCAGUUAAUUACACCCUGGCUUUGGUUACCGAGCAUGCCCGGAGCCUCUGUUCUCACUUAAGACUCAGUUCUGAGGCUCAGGUUCUGGAAAGAAGCAGGUGGAUGUGUUCAAAGAAGAGAGUUCUAAUGGAGAAAACCAGCAAAGGGCAGAGAAAAAGAACGACGGGAAGGGAUCCUGGGAACAUGACGGUAUCUUGGAUAGAAGGAUGUUUGAGGGCAUAAUAUAAAUAAAUUAUAAAAGAAUAGAAAAGAUUUUUAAAGUUAAUAAAAAACUUUGAAGUAAAUAAAAUAAAAAAAGUAAUUUAAAAAUAACAAAGAAACAUGACGGUAUCACUAACUCCCAGGAGCCAGAGAGUGACAUAACCCCUACUGGGAAUGUGGAAGUUGAAUUGUUAAAUGGCACUCCACUCACUCAUUCACCUAUCAAUAUAUUAAUAGUAUAUAUUUAUGAAAUAUGUUAAAGGCAGUAAAGCAUUAUUCAUAGUCAUAUUAUAAACGCUGCUAGGAAUCAACUUCUCAACCAGUUUGUAACAGGGCCCUGGAAAAUGCAAAUAUCUAUUAAAGAGACACCAUAUUAAUCCACUGUCUUUUUCUAAAUUUAUCAAAUAAGUUUCUCAUCUGAAGGCUGAAAAAUGGGCACUUACUAAAAACUGUCAGGUUUGUCUACUAGAUAGAAGGCAGAUAUCAGAAGAUAAACUCACCAAUCAAGUUACUACAACUGAAAGAACCAGCUUAGCUGAUGUAAGAAGAGGUGAAGAGGGAGGAGGGAGGUCAACCAAAGACUACACAGGCAUUCUUUUUUUUCUUUGAGACAAGGUCUUGCUCUGACACCCAGGCUGGAGUACAGUGGUGCUGUCAUGGCUCACUGCAGCCUCGACCUUGGGUUCAAGCAAUCCUCCUGCCUCAGCCUCAGAGUAGCUGGGACUAUAGGUACGCGCCACCAUGUCCAGCUAAUUUUUGCAUUUUUUGUAAAAAGGGGGUUUCGCCAUGUCGGCCACGCUGAUCUUAAACUCCUGGGUUCAAAUGAUCCUCCCCCCUUGCCCUCCUGAAGUGCUGGGAUUAUAGGCAUGAGCCACUGCGCCUGGCCUGGCAUUCUUUUUUCUUCUGUCAGAAUAAAUACUUGCCAGUCUCACACUAGCAAGCGUUCAAUAAACACUGGGUGCUGAGGAUGGAAGAGCUAUCAGAAAGACAACAUUCCUGCUCUCAUCAAGCCGAUUGGGAAGGAGGGUGUAGACAAGAAAAGGAGGGUGUAGACAAGAAAACAGGCUGUGAAAAGUAGAUGCUCUGAUGGAGGAUGACACAUCCGGGGCAGUAUAGGUGAGACCUUAAGAGUGAGGGUAAUUUGGCCCAGAACAGGAAAAUAGGAGAAGAAAAAGUUUUCCAGUAGGAGCACCAACAUGGAGAGAAAGCCAAAGGUAAGAAGGAACAUGGCCAUUCACUAUGGCUGGAGGAUCUUUUCUUUGGGGUGGGAGACUGGGAGGAACAAUGUAGAGACAAGGCUAGAGAGAUGAACAGAAGUCAGAUCAUGUAGAGUCGUCUAGACCAUGUUUUACAAAUUGCACUUCAGGAUAAAGAAAAUGUGGUACAUACACACCCAGGACUACUACUUGGUCAUUAAAAACAGAAGGAAAUAAUGUAUUUUGCAGGAACUUGGAUGGAGCUGGAGGCCAUUAUUGUAAGUGAAGUAACUCAGAAAUGGAAAAUCAAAUACCAAGUGUUCUCACUUAUAAGUGGGAGCUAAGCUAUGGAUAUACAAAGGCAUAUAGAGGGGUAAUCAUGGAUAUUGGAAACCCAGAACAGGGCAGGGUAGGAGGGUCAGGAAUAAAAAAUUGCAUAUUGGUAACAAUGUACACUACUCAGCUGACAGGUGCACUGCAAUCUCAGACUUCACCACAAUUCAUCCAUAUAACAAUAAUCCCUUGUAGCCCAAAAGCUACUGAAAUUUUUAAAAUAUUUUUUUAAAAUAAAAAAUUUAAAAAAAUUCUACAUUAGGCCAGGCACCGCGUUUCAUACCGUGAGCUUUGGAGGCUGCUUUAGGAGGCUGAGGUGGGAGGACUGCUUGAGGCCAGGAGUUCAAAACAGCCUGGACAACAUAGAGAGACACUAUCUCUACAAAAAAAAAUUGAAAAAUUAGCGAGGUGUGGUGCCAUUGGCCUGUAGUCCUAGCUACUUAGGAGGCUGAGGUGGGAGGAUCUCUUGAGCUUGGGAGGUCGAGGCUGCAGUGAGCUAUGAUCGCAUCCUACACUCCAGCCUGGGUGACAAAGCAAGACCCUGUCUCUAAAAAAAUAAAUUAAAAAAUUACACUUGAUCCUACAGACGAUGGGGAGGCAUUUAAGUGUUAUAGGCAACAUAAUAAUGAGAUCAAUUAAAAAAACAAAAGACUCCUGGCUGCAGGCAGAGAACUAAUGAGGAUGGGAGGUAGGGAUGAGAGGAAAGAGGAUAAAUCAGGAAGAAGAUCUCUGUAAAGGACACUUAAUCAAUGAGUACCAGGCCAGGUACAGUGACUCCUGCCUAUAAUCCCAGCACUUUGAGAGGGUGAGGUGGGAGGAUCACUUGAGCCCAGGAAUUCAAGACCAGCCUGGGCAAAUAGGGAGACCUCAUCUCUACAAAAGAUAAAAAAAUUAGCUGGGCAUGGUGGCAUGUGUUUGUGGUCCCACAUGCUCAGGAGGCUGAGGCAGGAGGAUCCCUUGAGCCAGAGAGGUCGAAGCUUCAGUGAGCCAUUAUCAUGCCACUGUACUCCAGCCUGAGUGACAGAUUGAGACCCAGUCUUAAAAAUCAAUCAAUACCAAUGUAGAGAUCCUCAUACCUUUAUGGAAUCUAAAUUCAGUCCCAUGACAAGUUCCUAAGAGACAAGCUUUCCUGGAAGGGAAGAGAAGUGUGGAGGGAGGAGGGUCACUGAUGGUAAAAAACUGAGAAACAUAUUGGUAAAUAGAAUUGAGAGAGAAAAUGGCUUUUUAAAACUAAAUAUUUAUACAGUGACUCUAUCUCACACACUUCAAAGAUAAAAGAAUGUUGAUUUGUAACUGAGUAGUGGAAUAAAUUAAAGGGAAAUUGACACAUAAGACGUACAUUGAUAUACAUCCCCAAUUUCCUACCAUGUUAAAAGCAAACCAGCAUGCUCCUGCCUCUUCUCCCUCUCCUUUUGAGAGAGUUAUUUUAUUUCUCUUUUUGUUUGUUUAUUUGAGAUGGAGUCUCGCUCUGUUGCCCAGUCUGGAGUGCAGUGGCACUAUCUCGGCUCACCACAACCUCUGCCUCCCGGGUUCAAGUGAUUCUCCUGCCUCAGCCUCCCAAGUAGCUAGAAUUACAGGCAUCCACCACCACGCCUGGCUAAUUUUUGUAUUUUUAGUAGAGACGAGAUUUCACCAUGUUGGCCAGGCUGGUCUCGAACUCUUGACCUCCAGUGAUCCACUCGCCUCAGCCUUCCAAAGUGUGUGAGCCACCGCACCCGGCUAUUUUUAUUAUCCCUCACUCUAAUUAUUUUAUGGUCUUCCUCAAUUUGCAUCUAUUUGUCUGAAGUCAAAGUCCGUGCUAGGCUGGUCUGAGUGCACUGUUGCUUAUAACUAAUUAAUCUCAACCAGUUACAGAUCUCUUUGUUCCCUCUCCAUUCCCAUUGCUUCAUUUGACUAGCUUUUAAAGAAAUAAUUUAAACAUUUUUACAAACCAAGGUUCAUGCUACUUCCUUCCACUAGGCCAUGCUCUCUAGAUUCACUAAGGUCUAGGCAGCUAUGGCUGUCCCUGGGAGCUGAGCCACCUCGCUGUAACCAUGGUGGGCUGUACUCAGAAGACUUAAUGGAAGGCUAGAGUGCUAGGGCUAGGGUGCUAGGAGGUAGCAGGGCUCCCCUGAUGGAUCCUCCCACCUGAGUCAGAGCAAAUAGGCCAAGAAGAAAGGAAGAGGGAAAGGCUGGUUGGCCUUAGGGGGGCAGAGCCACAGCAAGACAGCCAAACAUUUCACCCCUAGGUCACUCGAUUCAUAGUAUUUUUUCAGAUGAUUUGCUACCUUCUGUCUGUCAUUUCAAUUUGGUUUUUCUCAAUUUUCCUUUGUUUUUUUUUUUAUUUCUAUUUAUUCUCUCCUCUUUUUAUUUUAGCUGAAGAUCCAGGAAAGCUGGGUGUAGUUCAAAGGACUGAGAGCCAGAGAGUCAAGGGUAUAGAUUCCAGCCUUGGUCUGAAGGCCUGAGAACCAGGAGCACCAAGGGCAGGAGAGGACUGAUGUUCCAGCUCAAGCAGCCACCCAGUGUGAAUUCAAUCUUUCUUCACCGUUUUGUUCUAUUUGGGCCCUCAAUGGAUUAGAUGAUGCCCAUCCACACUGGGGAGUGCCAUCUGCUUUAUUCAGUCCACCAACUCAAAUACUAAUUUUUUCCAGAAAGACCCUCACAGACACACCCAGAAAUAAUGUUUAACCAGAUAUCUGGGCAUCCAAUGGCCCAAUCAAGUUGACACAUAAAAUUAGCCAUCACAUUGCCUUAUUUGACCCUCCUUCAUCUUCACUCUUCUCUCUCUCUGUAGACUAGGGCUUCUCCAAUUCACACAGCAGAAAACAUGUCCCUACAGUUCCUAACUUUAUUUGUUACAGAUCCAAUUACCAAGUGGAAUCCAUCUUUCUAAUAAUUCCAAAUUCCCAGGUAGGGAAUUAACUGGCUUUACUCAGGUCAGAGUCAUGAUGUAAAACAUGCCUAAAAAGAGUUCUUCAUCUAAUUCUAUGGAUGGUGGCCACAGGAUUGGAAAUGCGGAUGGAAGGAUCUUUGAGAAGGUUGAGGGUAAAUGUUUACUAUGAAGGCAGACAUGUAAAUAAGUAAUAACACUAUAAUUUCAUAAAUACCCUAAUAAAGAUAUGAACAAAGUAUUAAGGAAGCACAAAAUAGCAGGGAGGGGAGGGAGUCUCAACUUCAGAAACAUAAGCAUGAGGAAUGUGCAAGAAGAUAAUGUUCAGCUGGGCAUGGUGGCUCACACCUAUAAUCCUAGCACUUUGGGAGGCCGAGGCGGGCGGAUUGCUUGAGCCCAGGAGUUCGAGACCAGCCUGGGCAACAUAGUGAGACCCUGUCUCAAAAAAAAAAAAAAAAAAAGUUGCGGGGCUGUCCUGUGUUUUGUAGGAUGUUUAGCAGCAUCUCUGGUCUCUAAUCACAAGAUGCCACUAGCACCCCCUCUAAGUUUUGACAACCAAAGAUGUCUCCAGACACUAUCAAAUGUCCUGGCUUCACUUGAGAACCAUUGUGUUAUAUUGAGAUGUGAAUGGGAGAGAGACACAUGCAUUUUUCAAAAUAUAUAUUAUUAGGAGGUAGCAUCACCUUCUAAUAUUCUUUUCCUAAUUUGAAAACGUCUGUUUAUUCUAAAUUUAAUUUUUUAAAUCCAAGCUGCAUGUCAGUCAGGUACUCUCCCAAACCUUCUCUAAUUUCCUGAAAUGAAGAAUGAGUUAUAACAAGAAAUGUUUUACUUAUUAAAGUCUAGAUUAAAAAUAAGAUUUGACCGGGCACAGUGGCUCACGCCUGUAAUCCCAGCACCUUGGGAGGCCGAGGCGGGCGGAUCACUUGAAGUCAGGAGAUCGAGACUAGCCUGACUUACAUGGUGAAACCGUCUCUAACUAAAAAUACAAAAAUUAGCUGGGCGUGGUGGCACACGUCUGUCAUCUCAGCUACUUGGGAGGCCGAAGCAGGCGAAUCACUUGAACCCAGGAGGCGGAGGUUGCAGUGAGCCAAGAUCGCGGCACUGCACUCCAGCCUGGGUGACAGAGUGAGACUCCAUCUAAAAACAAAACGAAACAAAAAAAAAAAAAUGAAGAAAGAAAGAAAACCAAAAAAUGGAAAAAAUAAGAUUUAUAGAAAUAUUUUAGAGUUACACAUAUCUAUUUUCGAAAAUAACACCCCAUUUUGACAGUCUUGUGACAAUGUUGAUAUCUAGCCAACUUGCAAUAGAAAUCAUUUUUCUGACUCUGAUGUUAUGAUUUGGCCAAGGGCAUUAAUAUAACCUGAGUAUUGAAUCUUAGUAGAAAAGCCCCCUCCUAUAGAGAUGACCUGCCUGUUUUGUUUUAACAGCAAAUAAGGGCAAUAAUACCAAGGCUCUAUGCUUCUCUAUUCCUUUAGUCUCAUUCCAUGGAACAGCUGAUAAGAUAUAUUAAAGAAAUGUGUUACAAAUAAUACUCUUAAAGUUAGAGCAAAAUUAGUUACUAGGAGCAAAAGUUUGUUAGCCAUUCAUCCUUUGUUCUCCAAGUUUUCUAAGCCUCACCAUUUCCCUUACCUCCUCCAACUGCUUGCCUUGAGGGGGUCCUCCCUGACCAUUGUCAAGCCAGAACAUCCACUUUAUUCAACCAACUGGAUAUUGUUGCAUUCAGAUAUUUUCCAAACCCAAUCUUAAAUAGCUACACCGUACACUGUGGCUAACUCACUCCACCAGAAUAGAGUAUGAUAUCUUGUUUUUAGAAGAACCAAAUGUGUCACUAUAUUUAUAUUUAUAACCAGGUUUAAAAAAGAAUCUGUUCAUUAGCUUAUUCAAGCCACGUUAGUUUACUGACUUGAUAUUACUGGACUUUUUU